rnacentral:ribozyme from 1 species
GGGGGGCAAAAUCUGAUCUCUACCUCCUCGUGGUGCCCCCCGGACAACUGCUUCUAGCAGCAGGCUAACAGAGACAG